UGAAGAGCCACUUUGUUGAAAUGAAUUCAGAUAUUUUGUUGUUAGCGAACUUGAUUGUUUAAAAGCCGAUGCAACAUUUUCUCUACAUG